CACUCCUGCGGGAGGCAGCAGUGGGGAAUUUUGAACAAUGGGCGAAAGCCUGAUCCAGCAAUGCCGCGUACAGGAUGAAGGCCUUCGGGUUGUAAACUGCUUUUGUACGGAACGAAAAAGCUCCUUCUAAUACAGGGGGCCCAUGACGGUACCGUAAGAAUAAGCACCGGCUAACUACGUGCCAGCAGCCGCGGUAAUACGUAGGGUGCGAGCGUUAAUCGGAAUUACUGGGCGUAAAGCGUGCGCAGGCGGUUAUGUAAGACAGAUGUGAAAUCCCCGGGCUCAACCUGGGAACUGCAUUUGUGACUGCAUGGCUAGAGUACGGUAGAGGGGGAUGGAAUUCCGCGUGUAGCAGUGAAAUGCGUAGAUAUGCGGAGGAACACCGAUGGCGAAGGCAAUCCCCUGGACCUGUACUGACGCUCAUGCACGAAAGCGUGGGGAGCAAACAGGAUUAGAAACCCGGGUAGUCCCAUGAU
rnacentral:rRNA from 1 species